CCCCCACGGCAGGAAUUCUCUCCUUUCACACCAUCUGUUAGCACCUACUCAAAAGCCCACCAUGCCCCAGGAUUAGCUGGCCUUGCAGAUGGAACUCUGUGACUGACUUCUACCUUUCCAGAAAACGAGCCAUGACAAGCUGCCCCAGUGGUUAUGUUAGGGCAAGGGAGGAGGCAGAAGAGACUGUGACUAAGCAUCCCGCUCACUUUUAGGAUCCGUUUAAUCAUUUCCUAUUGGUUUGCCCUGAAAUGGCACCACUGAGAGCAUAGGGCAAAACAUGCGAGUGGUCUAAGGGAUCCACCUAUGAGGCACCAGUGCCCAGGAGACAGAUGUGAGCAUGCAUGUACACAUGCAUGCAUGUGCACUGGCAUGCGUACAACACCUGCAGCCUAAAGCCAAUAAAGGCCUUCUCAGCGACUUUAGAAUUUUAUUGUCCACUGUGGCUGCCACAGAUGCUUGGGAUACUUGCUGCAAGCAACAAGGAGAAUUGGCCCCACACGUCUCGGAAAUGUGGGGCAGGCAUAUUAAGUGACAGACACUGUGCUAAGUUCUUCACAUCUACUCUUUUAUUUAUUCCAUUCAGAGGUGCUACCAGGUCGUCCUGACCCUGUUUCUGUGGUUGGGAAACUGGCCAGAAGGGGCAGAGCCAGGAUUGGAUCUCGUGCCUUGGUGAGUCUAGCAAAGACUUCCUGCAUGACCACAGUUCAACGCUAUGGCCAUAUGUGCUGACAGAACCAGGAUCAAGCAAAACUGUUAGUCCCCAGCCUUUUUUUUCUUCCAUACCCAAAGCCAUUGCUCACCAGUAGAAGCACUGAACUUUGGAGAAUCAAAUGAUUCCACAAGGCUGGCCUCUACACAUACCUCCAGCCUUGGACAGAGGAGAAAAAGAGAACCCCACUGUUAACUACCAAAGUAAGUUGAAAAGCUGCAUCCUCCCUCCUCUGCAUGCUCAGCAGCUAAUUGAGGUUAGAGCCAUAGAAACCAAACAAAAGGCUCCCAGGAGCCCACACUGCCUAGCCUAACUGCUGCCAGCCACGGUGGGAAGAGAAAAAGGGAGCCCCUCCCUCCUUCAUUCCUCAACAGCUUAAUGAAGAUUUGGCCUGUCAUCUUCCCAGGAACAAAUUCUGUGGCUAUCUGAAAGGGACUGAUUUUUAUUCUCAAACAACAUAGCAGAUCCGCCUUUGAAACCAGAGUCAGCAAUAAAAUGGGUCAUAAACAUGUAUAUGAGGUUAUAAGACCUGAGAGGUGACUGGAUUUCUCCCAGCCCUAAAAUUAAACUCCUUAGGAAGUCCCUCAAUGUCACCACUGGGGAGGGAAGGAAAGUUGGUGGAGGUCAUGGCUUUCACUGUGCCACUAAUACAGAUGGCACUUUUUAGGCCAGGACCUCCUUGGUCUUGAAGCUACAGGCUUAGCUGCCUGAUGCCAUGUACCAGCAAAUGAGAAUACCCAGCUUUCUUUGCAAGUUAGGCAUGAUUCUGAAAAAAAGCCACAUUCACACUCUAAAAUGUCCACGAUUCUAGCAUACAAAUGGCAGACUGAUGGACUGACCAACUGAAUGAAUAAAUAAGUACCAUAAGCAAAUACUAUCUUUGAAUCCAACAAAGAAAACCCAAUCAUUUUCUUCUUAAAGUUAUUUUUUAAUCUUCUUUAAAUCCCUCUUUCAGGGAGAGAAAUUUCCCGGGAAGAAGCUGUCAUGAUUCAGAUAUUAGAAUAUUUUACUAUUAAUAUCUCCAAGAGCCUUGAACUUCUUUGUCGUCUUCGAAGAACUAAGCCGACAAGUUGGCUAUUUCUGGGACUGAGCAUGUCUAGCUGUUUUCACAAAGGGAAGAAGUUAUCACAUGAAAACAGAUAGAUUUUUCCUUUAUGGGUUUAAGACAUGGUGAUCAUAAUAAUUCUAAUUAUUAUUAGUGACUCUAAAAAUUAUUAUGAUUUUAUUGGACGAUAUGACAUCUAUUAAAUACAUCUACUAUAUCAAGUGUUUUUCUUUGUGUAUUAUAGUGUUUUUAUUCACCUUCAUAAGAACCCUCUAAAACUGUUACUAGAUGGGUCUAAUUUUGCAUAUGAAGACACUGAUGCUUGGGGCCCCUGGGUGGCUCAGUCGGUUAAGCGGUCUGAUUCUUGAUUCUGGCUCAGGUCAUGAUCCCAGGGUGAUGAGAUGAGCCAGGUCAGGCUCUGUGCUGGCUGUGGAGCCUGCUUAAGAUUCUCUCUCACUCUCUGCCCCUCCCCUCCUAAAAAUAAAUAAAAACAAAGACACUGAAGCUCAGAAAAGUUAAGUGCAUUAUACAAAGUCAAACUGCUAGUAAGUAGGGAAGCCAGUGUUCAAAUUAGGCAGCUAGCCUCCAAAGGACUAGUGGGUAGAUGGUAAAGUGAUACCUCAUCCACUGCAACGGUAUAUGAACACAGCACGGGUUGCCUCUCUAGGAAGUGCUUCCUUCAAAACAAGAGGUGUUCAGGCAAUGACUACCAGAGUGAGAACUUCAGCUGCACUUGGGAUUCAGGUCCCUGGUGAUACUCAGCUCUGCCAAUUCCACUGCAUUGCACUACUUAGUAUCAACACGCUUUUAUUUUCUAGGUUUGGACGGAUCCUAUAGAUAGAUUUUUCAUCUUUGUCAGAAAGUAUGUCAUUCAAAGAGCAGAGGAUCAGUUUGGGAUCCCAGGUGAUAUCCCAAUUCCUAUCUAAAGAAAAGGUCUUGGUUUGCACACCUGUUCUGAAACUGCCUCUCUGCCUUCGUCUUGGAAGCGGACGGCAAUCUGAGCUUGUCAAAGUUUCUGUUCUAAAGCCAGUCUCUGCAGUGGGAAAGAUGCUACACGGCACCUGCAGUGCACAUUACUCUCAAGCAAGCUCCAGUCAGAAUGGAUGUCAAGGUUCAAGCACGGCCAUGAGGCUAAAGAUAAUCCUGAUAAUAAGAGGCCAGGACACCAUUCAAGUCUCACCACCCAUUAUACAGCUUUCAAAACAAAGGAGUUUGAUAAUGUGCUGAGUUCAUCAUCCAGCCAUGAAUUAAUUAAGAUGAAUAUACUUGCGACCAAGGUACCUGGAAGCAAAUUUUUCUUUAUUCUGAGGUGGGAGGCAAGGAUGUAACAUUGAUGCAAUCUGGCAACAAGAGAUGUGACUAAAAACAUCCACUGGACACCUCAUUAGUUCCAGACACUGUACUGGAGACCAGACUGUUGGAACAAUCCACGUAGGAAAAUAUCGGUGUUGCUGCCCUCAAGGACCUGAGUAUCGUCGGGAAAUGAAUGAACCACUCAAAGACCUCUCCUGCCAAAAAUAGAAGAGCUGGAACAGGUGAGGGAACUGAAUCAAAAAGACAUUAAGGAUCUUGCCCAAAGUCACACAGCUGGUACAUGGAAGAAUGAGGAUCUGAGCAGUCUAACCCCAGAGUCUGAGUACUCCUGACCAAUGUAUUUGUUCUAUGUGUCCUCUAUGGGAAGGCUGGUGGUUGAGGGCGAGGAGGCGAAGGAAGGGGUGAGUACAGCCUCUUUUCCUAAUUGCCUUGGCUUCUGAUGGUGCCUUCCCAACAUGAAACUUUCCCCACAGUGGAGAUGGGCUUGUCGCAGUUCAGCCACUGACCGUGAUCCUCAGCCAUAGAGAUUAAACAGAACGGAGAGGGUGUAAAAACAAAAUGCUAUAAAGAACUGGGGCUCGUGAAGACAGACUAUGAUAAACUAGGAUUCUCUGCAAUACUAUCAAAUACCAAACCAAAUCCUGUCUGAACCCUUUAGUCUGCAAGAAAUCUCUCUCUCCAUGUGUAGAAUCCUCCAAUAACAUAUAGCAUAAGGACGAAUGCUACCCAAAUUUGAAAAAUGAUCCAGAGACAAAUUCCUAAACAAUGUUUUUGAGAAAAACAAAAUUAUUGGAUACACCUGGCAAAUUUAUCCACAGAGAAAUUAUUAGUAACUUUAUUACUUUCAAAGGAAAAUAAUCCCUUGGGCCAAAUAAACAAAACACCAAGAAUGCACUACAUCUAUCCAAUGCCAUUCUAAACCUAACCCAGAUACAGUGCUUAUUAAUAGGCCCUUAUUUCACCUGCUAAGCCAGGCAGCAUCCUUCCUACACCUCUUAGAAAUUUAAUAAAUGAGAGCACAGGAUGUUACAGACUGAUGUAUAUAGCUCAAUUCAAGCACAAAAGAAAAAAUAUAACUGCAAAAUGAUUUGUGGUCUGGACACAGUGGCUGAGUCCUGACUCAUUCCACUUGACAUAACAUUUGCUUUUUCUCUGCUCAAAUCUACCUUCCUCUUGCUGAAAACGAAAGAUGCAUGGGUGGCUGGGUGAAAGAUUCAGCCUUGUGCAUACUAUGUAUAGUUCAGUCAUCCAAGGAGAAAAUAAAUUGACAAGGAACAGUACUUGUACCGAAUAGUAGAAAAUAACACAUUAAGAUAUAUUGUCAAAUGGUUUCCCAAUAUUAACAUCCUGCCAACUCAUCAGCCAAUCUGUGUACAUGUUUUUUCCCAAUGCAAUUUUGAACCACUCUAUCCUAGCUUUUUGACUGUAGGACUACUACAUCUGAACUCAUUCUGCAAACAAAGCUGCAGAGAUUUUAGGAGUGGCAACAGGUCACCAAAAGUGAUCUUCAAAGCCCUGUGGGCUCCAUCUUACCAGUCGAGUCAGUCUGAGAAGCCCUGCUACUCAUCUGUUCCUCCGCAUUGAUAAGCUGCAGGUCGGU